rnacentral:rRNA from 1 species
GUGUCAGCCGCCGCGGUAAUACGGAGGGGGCUAGCGUUGUUCGGAAUUACUGGGCGUAAAGCGCGCGUAGGCGGUUUGCCAAGUCAGAGGUGAAAGCCCGGGGCUUAACCUCGGAAUUGCCUUUGAGACUGGCAGGCUUGAGUACGGGAGUGGUAAGUGGAAUUCCGGGUGUAGAGGUGAAAUUCGUAGAUAUUCGGAAGAACACCAGUGGCGAAGGCGGCUUACUGGACCGUUACUGACGCUGAGGCGCGAAAGCGUGGGGAGCAAACAGGAUUAGAUACCCUGGUAGUCCACGCCGUAAACGAUGGGUGCUAGAUGUUGGGGGCCUUUGGCUUCCGGUGUCGCAGCUAACGCGUUAAGCACCCCGCCUGGGGAGUACGGCCGCAAGGUUAAAACUCAAAUGAAUUGACGGGG